UACAGAGGGGGCAAGCGUUGUUCGGAAUUACUGGGCGUAAAGGGCGCGUAGGCGGCCUUCUAAGUCGAACGUGAAAUCCCCGGGCUCAACCCGGGAACUGCGUCCGAUACUGGAAGGCUUGAAUCCGGGAGAGGGAUGCGGAAUUCCCAGUGUAGAGGUGAAAUUCGUAGAUAUUGGGAAGAACACCGGUGGCGAAGGCGGCUCACUGGCUCGCAACUGACGCUCAGGCGCGACAGCGUGGGGAUCAAACAGG
rnacentral:rRNA from 1 species